rnacentral:autocatalytically_spliced_intron from 1 species
GUACGCCCAGCAUGGGCAUGAACUAAUGAGGGGAAAGUCCUCUGUAGGAAGGUCACCGUUCAAUAACAUGCUGUUAUUAAACGUUAACUACUAGCGAAUGGCAAGGGCUUAUCCGCGAGGAUUGGUCUGAAGGAAGCCGCUAGCAAAUUUGCGAGCUGAUGAACAAGAACAUCAUAUGAGGCGUAGGCUAGAGGUGAGUUGGCACAAGACGACGAAACCACGUGAUCUAAUGGCCACCGUAAAUGAUGCAGCAGUGCAAAGAAAGUUCAUGUUCUUAUCUGGGGAGAUCUGCUUAACACGCGAUCGGUCAAUAACCAGUAAGGCUCUGGUCUAUUAAGUGCCUUGGCUUUUCAAUCUCAUCGACUGAAAAGAGCGAACCAGAUGAAAACCGAUAGCGCAUGACGGGGUAACUCGGUAUGUGAUUAAGCAGAAGUCAGCAGACGGCAUAGUAGCCCAACGCCCAUCGUAAUGGUUGGGAUAUGGUGAAGGCCUGAACAUUUAGAAGAAGGAGGAGUCUUGUCAAACUUGUCGAUACCCACUACGUCGCCAGACGAUUACUAUCGGCAGCGUAUUGAUAUGCAACCGGCCUUCAACAGCGAUUUAUUCCAACAACUACUCGAACCUGAAAAUCUACACCGAGCUUGGCGUCAAGUUAAAGCCAAUAAAGGCGCGGCUGGCAUCGAUGGCAUGACUAUCGAAGCCUUCCCGCUUUGGAUGCAACAAGGCGGUUGGCAACGGUGUAAAUCUCUACUGGAACGAGGUGAAUAUAACCCUUCAGCAGUCAGACGCGUAGAGAUCGACAAACCCGAUGGAGGUAAACGCAAACUGGGUAUCCCUAACGUCAUUGAUCGUGUGAUACAGCAAGCUAUUGCUCAAAUUCUCACGCCGUUGUUUGACCCUUUCUUCUCGGCUAAUAGCUUCGGCUUUAGACCGAAUAGGAAUGCCAAACAAGCGGUCUUGCAAGUCAGAGAUAUCAUCAAACAGAAGCGCAAAUUUGCCGUCGAUGUUGAUCUGUCCAAGUUCUUUGAUCGAGUAAAUCACGACCUGUUGAUGACUCAAUUGAGGAUCAAGGUACAGGAUAAGCGUCUGCUGGCGCUUAUUGGUAAAUACCUGCGAGCUGGUGUGAUGGUCAACGACCAAUUUGAAGCAAGCUUCGAAGGCGUGCCUCAAGGCGGCCCACUCUCGCCAUUACUCUCUAACAUUAUGUUGGACAGUCUUGAUAAAGAGCUGGAAAGCCGAGGGCACAAAUUCGCCCGCUACGCGGACGACUUUAUCAUUUUGGUAAAAUCUAUUCGAGCGGGAGAGCGGGUACUCAAGAGUAUUACUCGCUACCUUGCCACUAAGCUAAAACUGGUUGUUAAUGAACAGAAAAGCCAAGUGGUAGAGGUAGGUCAAAGCAAGUUCCUCGGUUUUACCUUUAACCGCGGGAAGAUCCAGUGGCAUGCUAAAACAUUACACAUUUUUAAACAAAAGAUGAAACGCCUGACGAACCGAAAUUGGGGCGUUAGCAUGGGAUAUCAAUUGUUUAAAGUACGGCAAUACAUGCAAGGCUGGAUCAACUACUUUGGCAUAGCCAACGCUUAUCAAGGGUGUGUCGAUUUAGACCAUUGGAUCCGUCGUCGAGUGCGUAUGUGCUACUGGCGUCAGUGGCGAAAACCGCGGACUAAGGUACAAAACUUACUUAAACGUGGCGUCAGGAUCCAAGCUGCCGUUGCUUGUGGGAUCACAAGUAAAGGCCCAUGGCGGAGCUCGAAAACACCAGGAAUACAGCAAGCGCUGAGUAAUGAGUAUCUUAAGAAAGCAGGAUUGUAUUCACUGAGAGAUGGAUGGAUCGCGGUUCACUAUCCGAACCAGAAAACAGGUUAGGCGUUCUAAAUGAACCGCCCUGUGCGGAGCCGCAUGCAGGGUGGUGUGGGGGCUGGAGGCUAGAUACCUCCGGCUACCCGAU